GUGCUCACUUUGGCAGCCGAUACACUAAAAUAGGAAUGAUACAGAAAAGAUUCCCAUGGUCCCAAAGCAAGAAUGACAUGCACAUUUGGGAAGUGUUCCACUAAAAA